rnacentral:rRNA from 1 species
GGGGAAUAUUGCACAAUGGGGGAAACCCUGAUGCAGCGACGCCGCGUGGAGGAAGAAGGUCUUCGGAUUGUAAACUCCUGUUGUUGAGGAAGAUAAUGACGGUACUCAACAAGGAAGUGACGGCUAACUACGUGCCAGCAGCCGCGGUAAAACGUAGGUCACAAGCGUUGUCCGGAAUUACUGGGUGUAAAGGGAGCGCAGGCGGGAAGACAAGUUGGAAGUGAAAUCCAUGGGCUUAACCCAUGAACUGCUUUCAAAACUGUUUUUCUUGAGUAGUGCAGAGGUAGGCGGAAUUCCCGGUGUAGCGGUGGAAUGCGUAGAUAUCGGGAGGAACACCAGUGGCGAAGGCGGCCUACUGGGCACCAACUGACGCUGAGGCUCGAAAGUGUGGGUAGCAAACAGGAUUAGAUACCCUGGUAGUCCACACCGUAAACGAUGAUUACUAGGUGUUGGAGGAUUGACCCCUUCAGUGCCGCAGUUAACACAAUAAGUAAUCCACCUGGGGAGUACGACCGCAAGGUUGAAACUCAAAGGAAUUGACGGGGGCCCGCACAAGCAGUGGAGUAUGUGGUUUAAUUCGACGCAACGCGAAGAACCUUACCAAGUCUUGACAUCCGUUGACCGACAUAGAAAUAUGUUUUUCCUUCGGGACAGCGAGACAGGUGGUGCAUGGUUGUCGUCAGCUCGUGUCGUGAGAUGUUGGGUUAAGUCCCGCAACGAGCGCAACCCUUAUGGUCAGUUACUACGCAAGAGGACUCUGGCCAGACUGCCGUUGACAAAACGGAGGAAGGUGGGGAUGACGUCAAAUCAUCAUGCCCCUUAUGACUUGGGCUACACACGUGCUACAAUGGCGUAAACAAAGGGAAGCAAACCUGGGAAGGCAAGCAAAUCCCAAAAAUAACGUCUCAGUUCGGAUGGUAGUCUGCAACUGGACUACAGGAAGCGGGAAUCGCUAGUAAUCGCAGAUCAGAAUGCUGCGGGGAAUACGUUCCCG